UUUUCUGUAGAAUGACCCAUUCAUUGUAAAAUGAAGUAAAUAUUAAAAAUGAACAACUUUCAUGUUAGCCUAUGGGAAAAAAUAAUGGAGUAACUUCAACCUACUAACUAAUUAAAGAUGUUAUCAGAUCAUGUGUGCUUUCAGCAGUUAUCAUUUUAAACAUCAAAAUCAUGAUGCCCCCCAAUAGUAGCCUACUGAAUAUAAGAUGUGGGAUAAUAUAAGAAUGGGACAUUUUAUCCAAGUCAUCUCAAUGGUAAAAAAGUGUCCCAAUCACCCUGAACUGGAGCUCUAAAAUAAUGUUAUUGACUUCAACUGAUGAAUGCAGCCAAAGAAAAGAUGAAGAAUGGAAAAGCACUUUGCUGGCAAAGAAAUUGGAAAAUAACACAGGUUACGCGCAUGUAUCCAUGGCAACGCUCGGCUGAGUCGACAGUUAACGGUCCUGCUGGUGAUUUUCUCAGAUGAGGCCUUGAGUUUUCUCUUUCGUCGGUCAAAAAGGUUAGAAGCCAUCGAAAAAACUGCCAUCGGACUACCACAGCUGACAACGAGAGACGCGCGUGCACAACUGCAUAACACACACACACACACACACACACACACACACACACACACGGAAAGAGCACGACAAUUAUGAAACUGCUCAUUUAUUAUAAAUAAAUAAAUGUAUUUUUCUCCUUACAACGUGUUUGUGUUCUUUUGUUAACCUAGAAGUAAAAUAAAAAACAAUAAGAUUACUUAAUCGAAAGUCCCCUAAACGUCCCGAAUGGCCGCUGAACGUCCUGUGAACGUCCCCGUGAACGUCCGGAGGACGUCUUUGCGGACGUCCCCGGGACAGCCAGAGGACCCUACACAUGGACGUUCGGGGGACGUUCGCAGAGGCCAUUCAGGGGACGUUCUGGGGACCUUUUUUUGUUAGCUGGGCAGCACUCCCGGAUCGUGCACACUCCGCCGCUGGCCAGGCUGCUUCUGCUUUACACACCAUGGCCGUUAUUUUCUCGAGAAAAGGAGUUUUCUCAUAGCGUUUGCAACGCAAUACUCGUUCCCUUAUCUCUCAGGGAACCGAGGUUAUGUAAGUAACUGAGUAUGUAUAUAUAGAGAAUACGAUUCUGACGUCACGCCGCGUUGAGUUCUGGGUAACUUCUUUGUUUAUACGCCAUCUUGACAGGAUCGCGCAGCCUUUCCGUCAUUGAGUUUAGUUCAGUAAUUUGUUUUCUGUCAUGAUUGUGAAAAAUUUCACCAUUGUAUGUCAUUAAUGCUGCAUCGAUAAUGGUGAUAGUAACUCUGAUAAUCGUUCUGAGAGAGAACUGGACAAUGAGCAACGUUUUUUGCCUUUUCUACGUUUCAAAACACCAAGGGAAUCAGUUCGUGGAGAUGACGAGAAGACGCCGGAUGGCAAAUCUUUUAGUAAUGGCACUGAUUAAACCCACUGCAUAUCACUCAAUAAAAGAAUCACAUUGCUGAGUGUUUUUUGAAAUUUUUGGUUUAAUAAUUAACAUUACCUUUUGCGAGUCUGACUCACUCCGCUUGUGAAUUAGUAGAACUUGAACGGGGACAUUCAAAU